CGGAGUGUAGCGCAGCCUGGUAGCGCACCUCGUUCGGGACGAGGGGGUCGCAGGUUCGAAUCCUGCCACUCCGA
rfam:Aureimonas altamirensis strain ON-56566 NODE_2, whole genome shotgun sequence.